AAUUUUUUUUAUAAUCUUUUUAAAUGAGCGGUGUAAAAGAAAAGACCAAAAAUAUUUUCUCCCUCAUUCUCUUCUUCCUUGAAAACAAGCCGCCACCUAACAAAUCCCCAUUUUCACCCUUUGCUCGACAAACUAGUGAGCUAAAAGCUCCUUUGCCACGCUCCAUUUUCUCCAAAUAACUCUAGAUCUCCCUUAAGAUACCACCACCUAACUCCAUUUUCUCCAAAUAACUCCAGGGCAGCAACCAAAGCUUCAAACCACCAACUCCGGCUAACGGAGAAACGAAACUACAGCUUACCAAACAAAUUCGAGACCACCGGAUCUCCAAGCAAAAGCCCAAAGUCCCCAAAAAUUACCACGGUCAUGAUAUCACCUACUAUCAACCUACCAAUAGGUAAACCUAAAUCCAAUAGUCCAAAACCGUAGGCCACGAACCAUCACGAGAGGAAGAAAAAAACUGAACAGCAGCAGCAGCAGUAGUACCCUGUCAAAAGGGAUUACCUUGUCAAAAAGAUGAUAAUCUGUAUAAUUUUUUAUCCAAUUUUCAAGAUUUAAUUAUGACUGUUAUAGAUGAUCAUAAGAUUUUUGAUAUCUUGAAGACUGUUAAGGAUAAAGAUUUAAGAAACAAGAUUUUUGAUAC